AAACCUUUUUGUUAACUCAAUUUGGUUUCACUUUGGUAUUGGAGGUUCUUGCAGCUUCACACGCUGCUCCUCUUUGUUCAUUAGCUGGAUCUCAGUGUUAUGCUUGGUUCCACUCGGCGUGAUAA
rnacentral:rRNA from 1 species